AGUGAACGCUGGCGGUAGGCCUAACACAUGCAAGUCGAACGGCAGCACAGAGGAGCUUGCUCCUUGGGUGGCGAGUGGCGGACGGGUGAGGAAUACAUCGGAAUCUACUCUGUCGUGGGGGAUAACGUAGGGAAACUUACGCUAAUACCGCAUACGACCUACGGGUGAUAGCAGGGGAUCUUCGGACCUUGCGCGAUUGAAUGAGCCGAUGUCGGAUUAGCUAGUUGGCGGGGUAAAGGCCCACCAAGGCGACGAUCCGUAGCUGGUCUGAGAGGAUGGUUAGCUACACUGGAACUGAGACACGGUCCAGACUCCGACGGGAGGCAGGAGUGGGGAAUAUUGGACAAUGGGCGCAAGCCUGAUCCAGCCAUACCGCGUGGGUGAAGAAGGCCUUCGGGUUGUAAAGCCCUUUUGUUGGGAAAGAAAUCCAUCUGGUUAAUACCCGGGUGGGAUGACGGUACCCAAAGAAUAAGCACCGGCUAACUUCGUGCCAGCCGCCGCCGUAA
rnacentral:rRNA from 1 species